CCUACGGGGUGCAGCAGUGAGGAAUAUUGGUCAAUGGCCGGAAGGCUGAACCAGCCAAGCCGCGUGAAGGACGAAGGUGCCCAGCAUUGUAAACUUCUUUUGUAAAGGGACAAAAUCAGGAUAGAGAGCCUGACCGAGGGUACUUGAAGAAAAAGCAUCGGCUAACGCAGUGCCAGCAGCCGCGGUAAUACGGAGGAUGCGAGCGUUAUACGGAUUUAUUGGGUUUAAAGGGUGCGUAGGCGGACUGUUAAGUCAGCGGUAAAAGCCCGGGGCUCAACCCCGGCGAGCCGUGGAAACUGGCUGUCUUGAGAUGGAGAGAGGUAUGCGGAAUGCGCAGUGUAGCGGUGAAAUGCUUAGAUAUUGGGCAGAACUCCGAAGGCGAAGGCAGCAUACCGGCGGCGAUCUGACGCUGAGGGACGAAAGCGUGGGUAUCGAACAGGAUUAGAUACCCGGGUAGUC
rnacentral:rRNA from 1 species